AAAUCAAAAGCAAACAUGAUUAAUAAUGAAAUAUUAACUAAUUAUAUCGUAAUUACGUAGACGAUAUUUUUACACACGCUUUUUAUAGCUAUUAUGAAAUUGAAGAUAAUAGGAAAUGAUGCUGGGUUAUCGAAAAAAGAUAAAUAACGAAUUAAUUCUUUCCACGCGAUAGUUAUUUAUUAUGUCCAUGCAUGUUCAUUAAUAUAUACGAAAAUCAUGUAUAAAUAUUUAAUUAAUUCUAUAUUCGAUACAUGACAUUCACCGUUCAACUAAACUAAUAUAGAAUUUGUUAUAUGAUUGUAUUUCGUUAGAUCAACCGAUUAAAUGACUAAAUAUAGACAAAUGUAAACUACGCAUGUAUUUAAUAUACGUCAAAUUAAUGUAACGACAUGUAUUAAACACUUUUGACGAGAAUCAUUUGAAAAUUGCGUCGCAGUUAAAGGAAUUUAAAACAUUUAACGGAAUCGCAGAUGAUUAUACGAUGAAUCAUGAAACUUGAAUAGAAAUUAAUUAAGUAUAUUUUAUUUCAAGUUAUUUAUAGGUUUCUAUUCGUUCUCAUUUUCGAAGAUUUAUCGUCCUGUUAUCGACGAGAAUGAUUAAAAUGUUCAUGAAUUCCUUGAAUAAUUUUUAGGCAUUUUACUCACUGUUGCUGUUGGAAUUUGAAUCGAUACGUAUGUCUUCUCGAUUCGAUCAAAUUAAUUGUAUUUAUAGCAAUCCAUAAAAUUUAAACUAAACCGGCUGUUGUGCAUCCAGCAUGUUCAUCCCGCACACGAUGUUUGUAAACCACCUCUGCCUGGCAUCGAUCUAUGAGACCGAGAACAAGAAGCAGAUUUCUACGAGCUAAAACGAUAUUCGAUUAAUUUUAUUCCCCUGUGAGAGCUCGUUUACUUAUCGUUCCAAUUCUAUUUAAUCGAUUUCUCUCUUUUGUGAACCUAUUCAUUUACACGACUGUAUUUUUCAUUUAUUCAUCGUAAUUAUAGGUAUAUUUCUUUACGUUCUGUCAAAAUUUUAUGCUUUUUCUGCUCGUUAACGUCAGUUCUUCCUAUUCGACGUUGAUUUUCUUUUUAUGUUUUUUUUUCUCUUUUAAUAAUCCUCUUCUAAUGCUAUGUGUGUAACUUUGAAGUAAUGCAUUAAGCGCAUAUAUAUUUAUACGUUAUUGUAUUUAGUUUACGACUGGAAAAUUAUUUGUUAGCUCGAAUACGAAGCUUUUGAAAUGUUUACUCGAGUAUAAUACUAUAUUAUACAAUUUACUGGGCAUUUAGAAAAUAACGUUACAUAUUUUUCAUUAAAACAAAAAUAAAAAAAUACGGUCUUUUUGAGUACAAUUUUUCGAACAAGACUUAUUUGAUUUCAAUGAAAAAAUAUUAUGACAUUUGUUUUUUUUUAUUUAGUGAAAAAUAUUAAAGCUAUUUUGGUUUUUCUCGAAUAAGAAUCUAAAUUUUGGUUUAACGGUAACAUAUUUUACUUACGAAAACCAGCUUCUGUUCGCAAUAUUUUUUUGUUCAAAAUU
rnacentral:lncRNA from 1 species